rfam:Clostridium sp. CAG:594 genomic scaffold, scf84
CGCGGGAUGGAGCAGUUCGGUAGCUCGUCGGGCUCAUAACCCGAAGGUCGUAGGUUCAAAUCCUACUCCCGCAA